rnacentral:lncRNA from 1 species
CGAAUAUUAAGCUUAAAGAAAAUCAUUUCUAUCUGAAUCUCCAUCCGCCGCAUUUGAAUCAGAGGUGCGACAGGUGUAAACUCUUAUAUGAUAUAGGAAUUUGGGUUUGGAUUUAAGAUUGCGUUUUCAUUCAAAUUAAAAUUAAAAUUAAAACUAAAGAUUAAACUGAAAUCUAAAAUUAUAAUUAGAAACUGUUUUUUUCUGUGAAAUAUGGAUUAAAAAACUAAUUUCUUUUAAUUGAUGCCUAUAAUUCUUCCCUUCUCUCGAAAUUCGUAGCUCUAAAUCCAUAAUUAAGCCUGUUAAUUAGUACCAAGAUCACAAACAUCAUUUAACAGUAGUUGUGUAUUUUGGUAAAAAGAAUAUACAGUGAGUAGAGUACUGAACCCAGAAGCAAUAACACAAGUAGUAUCAACAUAUAAUGCUUACAUAGGAAGCAGGUAGAUUUGGAAGCAUAAGAACCUUAAAAUGAGUUGGUUCUGGCAAAAAAGGAAAAGAAAGCAUAAGAACGUUGAGACAUACACAUACAAGUAGUGUUUGUUUCAAACUUGGAGUGUUCUGGUUUUUUAAUUAUAAUCUUGGCAGGGCACGAGGCUGAACGCGAGGAGCGUCCCAGUCUGUGGCAAUGUGGUCACGGGUGAUUUCCUUGAGUGAGCGGCACCCACUUAAGGCCAUGGUUAGCUCAAACUCGUCGCGGAGCAUCUGCAGCACUUUUCUCACACCAGUCUCUCCUUCAGCAGCCAAGGCAUACACCACAGGGCGUCCAAUCUGACAUACACCAAAAUUUGUUACGAGCAAUUCUAUGGUGGACCAAGUUAAAAACAG